rnacentral:rRNA from 1 species
GUCCACGCCGUAAACGAUGUCAACUAGCUGUCUGUGUUUUAAACGUGGGUAGCGUAGCUAACGCGCUAAGUUGACCGCCUGGGGAGUACGGCCGCAAGGUUAAAACUCAAAUGAAUUGACGGGGGCCCGCACAAGCGGUGGAGCAUGUGGUUUAAUUCGAUGCAACGCGAAGAACCUUACCAUCCCUUGACAUCCAGAGAAUUUUCUAGAGAUAGAUUAGUGCCUUCGGGAACUCUGAGACAGGUGCUGCAUGGCU